CGUAUGGUGUUUGGCUUCGGGCCAAAUAGCGAUACGGCCUCAUAUUGAAGGU
rfam:Alteromonas naphthalenivorans strain SN2, complete genome.